CUUUAUAAUAUUUACUUUUCAUAGCUCAACUUUAUAAUAUUUGUAUAAAUUUCUAUGUCUGAGUUCCCUAUCCUGCCCACACAAACACAAAAGUUAACUGUCUGCGUAACAGGUAGUUUUCUGUGUGAAAGAUGCAUACAAUACAAGAACGGAAGAUAAAGGCUUUUGAUUGAGUUUAACCAAUAUAAGAGCAUUCAUUCGGUUUACCGUUAAAAAUACAAUUUGUUAGGAUUUCUCCAAGCCAUUAGACCUACAAAUCCAUCACGUUAGUACAGUUUGAAUGCCACAGACAGGUUGGAAAUGUUUACACUGGCUGCUUGAAGCAUUUCAUCCAUUAGUUGGAUGAAAUGGAAAUCAAAACCAGAACAGGUCAUUAAAGGUGUACUGGAAUUGUAGAACUAGGCACUAAGAACUUGUCCAGAGGAGUAAUUAUCUUGGACCAUAAGCUACUUUCUUACCCAAUAAUUUCCACCUUCAGAAUGCUUCAACCAUUCUGUUGUUCAGUGAGUUGUUUGAUCUUCUCAGGUCAAUCAAACUAUCAUAUUCUUGAAUGAAAAACAUGAUCCUUUAAGGCUGUCUUCAGCAUGUUUUUCUCUAGACUGAAAUUUUCCUGCAAGAAAUCUAGAACAAUUGAAGCUAACUCGCCCUGAUGGGAAGUAUAUUCAUGAUCAGCUCCUUCUAUUAUGUGUAAUUUAUGGUUAGAUAUGAACUUUGCAAAUUCCAAGGCAUCUUCAACAGGUACAAUUUUAUCCAUCGAUCCAUGGACUGUCAAAACCCUGCACUUUGGUUGAAUUGAUAAGCAGGCUGCAUGGGUAUCAGUAGUUAGACGAUCCAUCAAACUUUCUUCAGUCACACGAUACUCAAAUUUUCCCUUCUUAUUCUUAAUAUCAAUGAAUCCAUUUUGCUUGAUUCUUUGUAAGACGUCUUUACCCAAGCGCCCUUCAAUGCCUCUCUUCAGAUUAAACCGGCCAGAAAUAUUGACUACUGUAUGGACAUCUUUGUACUUUGAAGCAUACAAAAGCACAACAUUUCCUCCUUUACUAUGCCCAAUAACUGCAAUUAUCACUCGGUUUUGCUCAUGAAAAUGUUGGACUACAGCACGUAAAUCAUCAGCUUCUCUACGAUAGUUUCCAUACUGAAAUGAACCUUCACUUUCCCCAUUUCCGGCAAAAUCAAAGCGAAAGGCACUAAUUCCUUCUUUCUCUACAGCAGCAGCAAGGUUCACCAUUGGUAUCCUUUCCUUAGAAGAUUGAAACCCAUGGCACACAACAGCAAGCUGCUUAGAACCAGUUUCAUGUAAUAAACCCACGAGCUUCUCACCAUGCUUGUUCUCUACAAUAACUCUCUGCAGCUGAAGGCGUCCAAAAAUUGAUACACAAGCCCUUUUUCGCCGCAGAAAAGAAUAAGAAUUUGGGGUUAUUUGCCUUUCUAAUGUAGAAAUCAAAGGUCUUUUUUUAAAUUUUUCUCUGACCUGGUUUCUGGAUUUGUUGUUGAAGGGAGUGAGUCGAGCGAGUCAUCGACAUGGCCUUUUUUCUGGGUUUUGUUAGAGCUUCAAAAUGCUCUAAAUUAAAGACGUUUUC
rnacentral:misc_RNA from 1 species